GACCAAUCAGCGCCUCGCGGUCCCUCUGUAAACCAUUCUGCAUCCCCCGGCCCGGGAGAGUGCGGGGAGACCGCGUUUAGAGGAUCAGUGGCGGCGGCACCCGCGGCCCCGCGCGGCGCGGACGGCGGGCAGCACCGUGCCUGGGCCCCCUCCUGCUCCGAACAGCCCAAGGAGCAGAAAAGAGUGACAAGGCCGUGAAAGGAGGCGCCUGGGGCGUAGCCGGCUCUAGGAGGUUACCCCAUGCGGAGUACACACCCUGCUACACCCAUCCCGGAGGAGGGAGGAAAUAGCCAGCCCGGAGCACCCCUGGACUCUGCCGGUCCCAGAGGCCACGCAAACUCCGCCCAGACUCGGUGAGGCCGCGGUAAUGCCACGCAGGGAACUGCGUGGAUAAGGUCGCUCGGAUCUGAGCGCCAAGGUCUCCCGCCUCUCCUUCCCGUCUAGUUCUCUCCGGACUCAAAUUGCCUUAAUCUCACCCAUCACUCUCUCAUGGAAAUGAUCUACUCGUGUGCAGUACUUCACAGCUUGUAUCACGGUCUCCCCUGAACCGUAUAGCAAGAGGGUGGUGGGGGGUGGAAGAGAAGGGUACUAUCUCCACUUUCCCGGCCAGGAGGCCCAAGUUAGGAGGCUUGUCCGAGAUCCCUAGGUCAGAGCACUAUUUAAGGUGAGAAGUUGGGUGGGGAGCUUGGCACCUUGCUCCAGUGUGCACUUUGCGCCUGGCCAUGUUUUAUAAGCAAGGGGGGCUUGGGCUGGUUAAGGGGGAGCAGGGACCGCAGGGCCAGGAAAGGGCAGCAUCCGGCAGGCCGGGGCGUCACGGUAUGUGCCUGGCCUGGGUAAACAACUCUGGCUUCCCACGAGCGCUGGAGGGACCCUGGGCAUGGGGCAGGGGCGUGGGGGAGGG
rnacentral:lncRNA from 1 species